GGUGAGAUGGCCGAGCGGUCUAAGGCGCCAGCUUAAGGAGGACUUCACGGUCUGAUUAAGCGCUGGUCCGAAAGGGCGUGGGUUCGAAUCCCACUCUCGUAA